UGUAAACACUCGUGUGUGUCUA
rnacentral:siRNA from 1 species